rnacentral:lncRNA from 1 species
CGGAGAGCAGAGAGGGAGCGCGCCUUGGCUCGCUGGCCUUGGCUGCGGCUCCUCGGGAGAGCUGGGGCGCCCACGAGAGGAUCCCUCACCUGGGUCUCUCCUCAGGGAUGACAUCAUCCGUCCACCUCCUUGUCUUCAAGGACCACCUCCUCUCCAUGCCGAGCUGCUGCCAAGGGGCCUGCUGCCCAUCUACACCUCACGAGGGCACUAGGAGCACGGAUUCCUGGAUCCCACCAACAUACAAAGCAGCCACUCACAGACCCCCAGGACCAGGAUGGCAAAGGAUGAAGAGGACCGGAACUGACCUGCCAGCUGUCCCUCUUACCUAAAGACUUAAACCAAUGCCCUAGUGAGGGGGCAUUGGACAUUAAGCCCUGACUUUUGCUAUGCUCAUGCUUUGACUCUAUGAGUACUUUCCUAUAAGUCUUCGCUUGUGUUCACCUGCUAGCAAACUGGAGUGUUUCCCUCCCCAAGGGGGUGUCAGUCUUUGUCGACUGACUCUGUCAUCACCCUUAUGAUGUCCUGAAUGGAAGGAUCCCUUUGGGAAAUUCUCAGGAGGGGGACCUGGGCCAAGGGCUUGACCAGCAUCCUGCUGGCAACUCCAAGGCCCUGGGUGGGCUUCUGGAAUGAGCAUGCUACUGAAUCACCAAAGGCAUGCCCCACCUCUCUGGAGAUCUUCCUAUCCUUUUCUGGGGAAUGGGGUCAAUGGGAGCAACCUCCUAGGGUUGUUGUGAGAAUUAAAUGAGAUAAAAGAGGCCUCAGGCAGGAUCUGGCAUAGAGGAGGUGAUCAGCAAAUGUUUGUUGAAAAGGUUUGACAGGUCAGUCCCUUCCCACCCCUCUUGCUUGUCUUACUCGUCUUAUUUAUUCUCCAACAGCACUCCAGGCAGCCCUUGUCCACGGGCUCUCCUUGCAUCAGCCAAGCUUCUUGAAAGGCCUGUCUACACUUGCUGUCUUCCUUCCUCACCUCCAAUUUCCUCUUCAACCCACUGCUUCCUGACUCGCUCUACUCCGUGGAAGGGCACUCACAAAGGCACGUGGGCCGCGGCCCAGCUGGGUCGGCUGAAGAACUGCGGAUGGAAGCUGUGGAAGAGGCCCUGAUGGGGCCCACCAUCCCGGACCCGAGUCUUCUUCCUGGAGGGCCUCUCGUCUCCUUCCUGUUUUGGGCGGAAGCCAUCACCUGGAUUCCUACGUGGGAAGGGACCUCGAAUGUGCGACCCCAGCCCCUCUCCAGCUCGAAAUCCCUCCACAGCCACGGGGACGCCCUGCACCUAUUCCCACGGGACAGGCUGGACCCAGAGACUCUGGACCCGGGGCCUCCCCUUGAGUAGAGACCCGCCCUCUGACUGAUGGACGCCGCUGACCUGGGGUCAGACCCGAGGGCUGGACCCCUGCCCACCCCGCAGGAACCCUGAGGCCUAGGGGAGCUGUUGAGCCUUCAGUGUCUGCAUGUGGGAAGUGGGCUCGUUCACCUACCUCACAGGGCUGUUGUGAGGGGCGCUGUGAUGCGGUUCCAAAGCACAGGGCUUGGCGCACCCCACUGUGCUCUCAAUAAAUGUGUUUCCUGUCUUAACAAAAACAGUGAU